CCGGCGCACGGGUGAGUAACACGUAUCCAACCUNCCGUCUACUCUUGGACAGCCUUCUGAAAGGAAGAUUAAUACAAGAUGGCAUCAUGAGUCCGCAUGUUCACAUGAUUAAAGGUAUUCCGGUAGACGAUGGGGAUGCGUUCCAUUAGAUAGUAGGCGGGGUAACGGCCCACCUAGUCUUCGAUGGAUAGGGGUUCUGAGAGGAAGGUCCCCCACAUUGGAACUGAGACACGGUCCAAACUCCUACGGGAGGCAGCAUG
rnacentral:rRNA from 1 species